rnacentral:rRNA from 1 species
CCUACGGGUGGCUGCAGUGGGGAAUAUUGGACAAUGGGGGCAACCCUGAUCCAGCGAUGCCGCGUGUGUGAAGAAGGCCUACGGGUUGUAAAGCACUUUCGGUAGUGAGGAGAGGGCGGAUGUGAAUAACAACCGCAAGAGACGUUAGCUACAGAAGAAGCACCGGCUAACUCUGUGCCAGCAGCCGCGGUAAUACAGAGGGUGCGAGCGUUAAUCGGAAUGACUGGGCGUAAAGGGUACGUAGGCGGACUGAUGAGUUAGCUGUGAAAUACCUAGGCUUAACCUGGGGACUGUCAGCUAAUACCGUUGGACUAGAGUACAGUAGAGGUAAGUGGAAUUUCCGGUGUAGCGGUGAAAUGCGUAGAUAUCGGAAGGAACACCAGUGGCGAAGGCGGCUUACUGGACUGAGACUGACGCUGAGGUACGAAAGCGUAGGUAGCGAACAGGAUUAGAUACCCCUGUAGUC